GGAUGCGAUCAUACCAGCACUAAAGCACCGGAUCCCAUCAGAACUCCGAAGUUAAGCGUGCUUGUGCGAGAGUAGUACUAGGAUGGGUGACCUCCUGGGAAGUCCUCGUGUUGCAUUCC
rnacentral:rRNA from 1 species